rnacentral:rRNA from 1 species
AACGCGAAGAACCUUACCUGGGCUCGAACGACAAGUGGUAGUCCGAAUGAAAGUUUGGGCGACCCGCAAGGGAGCUUGCCGAGGUGCUGCAUGGUUGUCGUCAGCUCGUGUCGUGAGAUGUUGGGUUAAGUCCCGCAACGAGCGCAACCCCUAUCCUGUGUUGCUACCCGCAAGGGAGGACUCUCAGGAGACUGCCGCGGAUAACGUGGAGGAAGGUGGGGCUGACGUCAAAUCAUCAUGGCCUUUAUGUCCAGGGCCACACACGUGCUACAAUGGCGCGUACAACGGGAUGCAAUAGCGCAAGCUGGAGCCAAUCCUUUAAAGCGCGCCUCAGUUCAGAUUGUGGGCUGCAAUUCGCCCACAUGAAGGCGGAAUCGCUAGUAAUCGCAGAUCAGCAGGCUGCGGUGAAUACGUUCCCGGGCCUUGUACACACCGAUACUC